rnacentral:rRNA from 1 species
UACGGAGGGUGCGAGCGUUGUCCGGAAUUAUUGGGCGUAAAGAGCUCGUAGGCGGUCUGUUGCGUCGGCUGUGAAAACCCGGGGCUCAACUCCGGGCCUGCAGCCGAUACGGGCAGACUAGAGUUCGGCAGGGGAGACUGGAAUUCCUGGUGUAGCGGUGAAAUGCGCAGAUAUCAGGAGGAACACCAGUGGCGAAGGCGGCUUCCUGGCCUGUUCUUGACGCUGAGGCGCGAAAGCUAGGGGAGCAAACGGG